rnacentral:rRNA from 1 species
AACGUAGGUACCGAGCGUUAUCCGGAUUUACUGGGCGUAAAGCGUGUUCAGGCGGCCUGGCAAGUCGGGCAUGAAAUCUCUCGGCUCAACCGGGAGAGGCUGUCCGAUACUGCUGGGCUUGAGUACUGCAGGGGAGACUGGAAUUCCUGGUGUAGCGGUGGAAUGCGCAGAUAUCAGGAGGAACACCGGUGGCGAAGGCGGGUCUCUGGGCAGUAACUGACGCUGAGGAGCGAAAGCGUGGGGAGCGAACAGG